GUGCUAGCUUUGGCAGCGCAUAUGAAAAAUUGGAUUACGAUACAGAGAAGAUUAGCAUGGCCCCUGGCGCAAGGAUGACACGCAAAUUCGUGAAGCGUAUCCAAAUUUU
rnacentral:snRNA from 1 species